rnacentral:rRNA from 1 species
CGGACCGGCGGACGGGUGCGUAACGCGUAUGCAACCUGCCUGACACAGGGGGAUAAUCCGAAGAAAUUUGGUCUAAUACCCCAUAAUACCGAUAUAGGCAUCUAUGUUGGUUGAAAGCUUUGGCGGUGUCAGAUGGGCAUGCGUUGUAUUAGCUAGUUGGUGAGGUAGCGGCUCACCAAGGCGACGAUACAUAGGGGGACUGAGAGGUUAACCCCCCACACUGGUACUGAGACACGGACCAGACUCCUACGGGAGGCAGCAUG